rnacentral:lncRNA from 1 species
CCACACACACAGCCACUGAACCUCAUGGAGAGAGAGAAAACUGAAUUUCAACAGCCCUGUCUACUCCUGCCACCACCUGGAGAGCUGCUCCUGCAUUUUCCCUGUUGCUUUCUGAAGGAUAUGUACACUCUGACCCUGUGCUGAAGUCACUCGCAGGGCAGGGAGUCACUAACUUGUAACUCACUGCCAGGAAGGCACAAUAAAAGCACAGAAGUUCAGUGAGAGCCAAAGGCUUGGCUGUCCCACAGGCAGCUCUGCACACCGGAAACCAUCUUACAGUGUCCUCCAGCACAGACCAAAAAACAGCGAUCAAACAAUCCCAGCCGUUUGUCCAGUCAGGCCGAAUGUGAGAUGCCAUGAUGCCAUCCCCGUGUGUGUGGGGGUGCUGGCAGGGGGCACAGCUGCCUCUGGGGUCAGCUCUCCGCGCUGGAAGGAGCGGGAGCAGAGCUGUGCCAGUGCUCAGGGAAUCACCCAAGGCAUGAGCCAAGAAGCCUUCCCCUGGCAGGGCAGCUCCCCUGGCACCCACCCACCCACCCAGGGAACGCUGCCGGGCCCAGGGCUGCCAGGGCCUCCUGCUCCCUGCCCACAGACACCCACCGCCCACAGACACCCCCUGAUCUCCGCUGCACUCGCUUCUGCUGCCGGCUCCUCCUUGCGGGCUCCGUUUCAAUUAGCUCCCUAAAUAAAUACAAUUUUGAUGUGUGGUCUCAUAGUGGGUUAUUAAACUGGCUCCAAAAUGCUUUUCAGCGAGAAGCAGCUCACUUUCCACUGGAUUAUCCUACUCCACACUUCUGAUGUAAAAACCCCGCGGGGUAAACACACACAAGCACUUGUCUUUUCCUUCAUAGCAGCUUUUUUCCUAAUCUCUUGAAGAAUUAGCCUGGAAACGAUUCUUGGUGGCAAGCAGAGCGGUGCGGGUGCCUUGGCCGUGUGCAAUCUGCGGCGGCAGCAGUAGAUGGAGCCAGGCGAGAAAGGAAAGCUUUGAGGAUUGCAGCAUUUCUCCCACGGUGCGGGUUUAGCGCUUGACUUAACUCGAUUAAGAAAAAAAAUUUCGUUUAGUUCCUGAUGCUUUGAAGGUAAUACAGGGAAUAAUUACGUGUAGCUCUACCAGCACAAUACCCAGGGGAAAACUGACUUUUGGAAAAGUAACAAGUUGGAGGCAGUUUGUCUUGAGGGAUUAAAUAGAUAGUGGAAGGGAGAGAGGAUAGUUGUAUUAUUA